rnacentral:rRNA from 1 species
CGCAUCUGUGCAUGCAGCAUAUCAAUAAGCGGAGGAAAAGAAACUAACAAGGAUUCCCCUAGUAACGGCGAGUGAAGCGGGAAGAGCUCAAAUUUGAAAUCUUAAAGGGUUUCCCUUUACGAAUUGUAGUUUAAAGAAGUGUUUUCUGUUGAGGUUUUGGUAAAAGUUCUUUGGAAUAGGACAUCAUAGAGGGUGAGAAUCCCGUAUUUGACCUUUACUUUCAACUUUGUGAUACACUUUCAAAGAGUCGGAUUGUUUGGGAAUGCAGUCCAAAAUGGGUGGUAAAUUUCAUCUAAAGCUAAAUAUUGGCGAGAGACCGAUAGCGAACAAGUACCGUGAGGGAAAGAUGAAAAGAACUUUGAAAAGAGAGUUAAACAGUACGUGAAAUUGUCAAAAGGGAAGCGUUUGACACCAGUGUUGUUUUUCUGAAAAUCAAUUAAAGAACUGUUUAUGCUAAGCUGUUUAGACUUUAUCAGCUACUGUUUAGUUUUGAGCUUUUCUUUAAUGCACUUUUCAGUUAACAAGUCAACAUCAAUUUCUUUUGCUGUAAAAAAGCUUGAGGAAGGUGGCUUGAGAUUCGUCUUAAGUGCUUAUAGCCUCUUGCCUAUGCAGUCGGAGAGAUUGAGGUCUGCAGCGUAGAUCCUUCGGGGCCAAAUGCAUUUGUGCUAAGUUAUAGCAUUUUAUAGACAACUUGUUGACUAUGAUUUGUCUUGUAGCUUACUCGCUUAUGUUAUUUUACCUACGCUUAGGAUGUUGAACGCGCACAGAGUCUC